GGAGAGCCUGUGGUUCUAGGCCAAGCAUCUCACUCAUCUCAAAACAUCUUAUAUCCCUUAGCCAACAUUUAUGUCAAGUUUUAGAAGUCCUACAAACUGGCAAGCAUUUCUCAAUCUGGUUUAACCAUUGGAUUUUAUAUCUGUGUCUGCAUCUCUAUUUACAUCUAUGUGGUUAUUUGACACUCUGUAGUACAUUUGUAAUAGGUUCUAUUCGUUGGAAGUUACUUUCAGCAAACCCUUGCUGCUGCUAGAAUUUUCAAGGUUGCAGGUAGAAAGGAGAGAAUAAAAACCACAUCUUCUCUAAUUUUAAAAUUUGUUGUUCCUCAAAUCACACCAGAAGUACAAAUAUUACAAAUUACAAAAGCAGCCAGAAUCAAGAGAUUUCUGGGUGAUUCUGGCUAAUCAGCAGUAUUUGCUGAGGUGUGUGAAGCAGAGCAAAACACCAAGAAGCCCUGGAUGGGGGAGAGUUGGGAGGCCAGGCUGUGACUCCAGAGGUGCUGUUGCCUCAGGGAGAGGAGCUAGAUGCAGAGAGGAUAAAUGGCCGCAGGUGCGACCACGCCGUCCUUGCUGUACAGGGGGCCUGUAUGGGGUGCUUUGUGAGCUGGGUUAUGAACUAGGUGAAGGUCGUGUGAAGCGUCAGAGAAUCGAGGCCAGACAUGACGGUGGAGGCUUGGUGGAGGUGAGGAGCCAGACAGCCUCGCUAAAUGUGCGGUGGCUCACUGCAGACAGCGUCCAUCAGUCGCUAGACAGGCUUGAUCUUCAGCCCCUACGACAGCUGCCUUUAUCCUGUCUGCCUCCACCUUCUGAGGCCUAUAGGCAUCUCAAAUGUGUGUUUCUUAAACAGAUUUGGAUGAGUUGCUUUCUGCACAACACACCUGGACAGACGGAGGCUGGUUCUCCACAAUGGCACCAGGGACUUGGCAGAGACUGGCGGGACAGAGGCACAGCACCAGCUCCCUGGGAGAAGGCAGUGCCUGUGGGAUGGAGGAAAGAAGAGGCACACAGUGCUGAGACACCCGGAUGUUCUGAGUGGAAACCGCACUGCUGUGGACUUUGUGAGUGGUGAGCCGUGCACAGAUAUGUGCUGUGUUUGCUGUGUCCGCUGACGCAAGCCCUGGUCAGUCCUGUUUCAGGUGGAUGUUUUCCCUUGUAGUUCCCUUCUCUUGUUCUGUUUGUAAGUUCAGUAAACUCGGGACCAAUGGUGAGAGGAGGCGUGAGGAGCACGGUGUCGGCAAUUAGGAAAAUCCCGCCAGACCUUGCAGAAGGAGGAGGCGUGUGGAGUUCCGAUGCCUGUGUGAGCCAUGACUGGUGAGGGCCUCUGGGUAGCAGCUCAUCUGGGCUACUUGGAAAUGCAGAUUCCUGGGCACAGACCUGAGAGCCCUGGAGUGACCACCCUCCAGGGAUUCCACCAAACUUGGCCAUCUUGUCUUUUGGCAGAUCACCCGUGCCCAGCUGUCUCAUUGAGAUGCCCGGCUAUCACAGUUAUCUGCACAGCUGGUGUGGGUGUGCCGAUGGGUGUGUCGGGACUGGCCUGUCUUCCUUUCUCCCCCUAUGAAGUGUUUGAAGGUCUGUUAUCCUACCCUGUUCUCUCCCUGUCCUCAGUGGGCAAGCAGGAGGUUCAUUUUCACUUGCAGAUGAGGAAAAUUCUAAAAGUCUCAUAAAGCAGGGAGGAUCAUCUUCAGAAUCUUCUUUGUUCCAAUCAGCUCUGAUAUUUUCAGUUGGAAAGACUUUUCCUCAAACACUUUGCAUUCGUUCUGUAUGAGAAGUGCUGUAGACUUUCCUGUUGUUUUAGUAAUUAGGAUCUGUUCUGUUGUCCAUUACAAACGUAUAUAUUUUCAUUCUGAGACACGCUGAGUCAGUCUUUGCAGUCCAGAGGGAUUUCAUGUGCAUUCAUAGAAGCUUCCAUCAGAAACCACAUGCCAAAUAGCUGUGGACAUACAACCUGCUUGUGACUUUGGGAAUUGCCAAAGUCAAAUUCUCUCUCGAUUUGAGGCUUUAGGAGCUUUAGAAAUCUUGAAAUUAUAAAACGAAGAUGUGACAAAAUUAAGUGUAUGUCAAACAAAAGAGAUACUAUACUGCGGGUUUUAAGGGCUGUGGUACAUUAUUUGGUUAUCUUUAAGGAUGUCGUGUUCCACCCAAGUUACAAAUACAUGAAAUUUAAAUAUAAGGUGACCCCUUCAGAACAUCCUGGAUUUGGUCUUGAUCUUCUGCCCUUGAAAAUGAGAUUCUUUUUUUUUCUUGAAAAUGUAUUCUUUUUUUUUCUUGAAAAUGUGAUGGUCUUAAACUGUGUCUAGACCAUCUCAUCUGAAUUGCUUUGGAAACAUCUGCACGGGCAUCUUUCUAUUCUUGGGUAUAGAGAGAACGACAUCAUUAUGCUUUAAAAUAGCAAAAGUCCCGUAGAGCAGUUUUUCUUAAACUAAUGAGCUAUUGUUGGAAAUCAAGGUGUGUAGCAAGUUAUAGAAUCUCUCAGUGAAAGUGAUUAUUUAACAUACAGAAAUCUUAGUUUUAAAAUAAAAUGCUAAUAGAGAACCUUUUGUUCACAAGAAUCUAAAAUGUUACGUCUUUGUUUAGAAUUUAAGGAUAGUAAUUUGCUUCUGAGAUCUUUGUGACUGAGAUUUGAAAUCUUAACUACGGUUUAUCAAUGUUUAUAUAUGCAUGUAUGGAUAUAUAUAUAUGUAAAGAUAUAAAACGAAAAUAAGCAUGCAUGUAUUUACAUUUCUAUACCCUUCUAUAAUGUGUAUACUUCUAGUCACACAGAGGUCUAAGUGACUAUGACUUUAUUUGAUGACCAAGAGGAUAAUUAAAUAAUUUUCCUGCUCUUAGCCUUGCUUUUGCAUCUGAUCAGGGACCCUGCGAAGUGUGCCUCCCAUGUUCCAGGCCUCACACAGCCCGUGCCAGGUUUUGGAAGCAGGAGUUUGUCUGCAGCCACUUCGGGAAGCAGGUGGUUGCCAGGAUUGCCUAGAGCUCCAGGCUGUCUCCAGUCCAAGCCUCCCUGGGUAGAAGCUGCCCCACUAGGGGCCUGGACAUGGAUGUUGGGGCCUGGACAUGGAUGUUAGGGCCUGGAGCCAGGGACUGCUCCGGAAGAAGCGCUCCUGUCACUGCUGGGCAUGAGAACCGAGGACAGGAGGUGGAACCAGC
rnacentral:lncRNA from 1 species